GCCUCGAUGGUGAGUGGUCAUCAAACCUGUUUUAGUAACAGGAUGACGUGGGUUCGAUUCCCACUCGGGACA